CACUGAGGCAGACGCGCUGUUUGCCAUGGGUGAAAGCAAAUGGUCACUAAAGGUCAGAGAGCUCCUCUGCAGCUGGUGAGGGUGCAACAGCCCCACGGGGCCAGCCCAGGCAGAGAAGAAGGUAACGCCAUGUUCUGCUUGCUGUGAAAGUGCCUGCAAGAAAGUCACCACAACAGUCAGUGAGUUUUGUUUGUUUUAAAUAUAAGUACUUUGCACCUUAAAUAAUAUCUUACGCCAAGGAUCUCAAAGCACGUAGCAAACACUGGCUGAGCCUCUGUUUUCUGUGGGGAGAUGAGUGGCUAGUCAGCCUGGAUUUGAAGAAUUGGGAUGCUGAACCAUCUAUAUCAGUGAUCAGGGGAAGAAAAAGACACCUGAAGUAUAUGAGCUCAUAUUGGACAAGCCCAGAAAGAAAAAUGUGUUCUACAGUACUCUAAAACUGAGCUAAGAGUAAUACAAUGUAUGGUAUAUUAUGUACGGAAAAGAAAUGUGAGACCCUGAGGGAUGAAGGCAAACUAAUCAAAGGAAUAGCUAAUGGCCUAGAAGGAAAACAGGGAACAACCUGCUUCCUAAGGAGCCCACUCAGUUCUCAGUUCAGAGGGCCAGCAUACAGGCUGUUGGGACCUGAGCCCAAGGUCUCGAUGAUUUUAUCCAAAAGGGAUCAAAUUCAAGGCAAAUUUUUUAUGCCUAUAUAUUUUAUUCUUUUACCAGAAAUGGACAAUUUCUUCUACACAGGGAACAGAGCCAAGUAUAGGGGCUGGACCACUACUGCCGUGUUUGCACAGGCUUCUACAAAAUGACUUAAGCCUGCAUUCCCACAACACACCAGGAGUAAUAUUGCUGGCCUGGUUGGCCUGCUGGCUGAUCAGCAUCUCAGGGCAAAUAAAACUGUCAAGCACCUAUAUCAUUAGUAGGUGAUCUGAGAAGAUGACCAGUAAGGUCUAAGCUAGCUGCCACUUGUUCCCGUAAGUGAAUGGAGAUCAAAGACACCUUUAAUAUGAUGCUCCCAGUGUCAGUAUUAACUCUCUUUCUCAUCUGUUUUCAGAUUAACAGGGCUGAGAAACCCGAGAAAGAAAGUGGAGGCUGGAGUGACACUGAUUACACUGGAAGGCAUGGCAGUUGGCUGAACUAAUGGUGAACAGAAUUACAGACGUCCACAGGAAUUGAAGGAACCUUACAAUAAAAAGGAAGGGUAGGCAGUGCAGUCUGCAAAAUGGACAACAUGAAGGUUUGCUGCGCCCUGUCUCUUGAAGCCUACAGCUUUGGGAAAUGGUGAAGAUGUAGUCUUAGGAAUCCUGAACUUCUCGGCAUCCCCCAAUACACUAAUUAAUACUUGCAGAAGGAGGUGGAAAGCACUGUUUGUGUUAGAAGCUAUUAAUGAUCAGUUUUUAAACUAUUUGUAUCAUUUCCCUGUGGUGACAGCAGAGGACUAUGCCACUGAAAUAAAGUAGGAGUUUCUGGCCUGUAACACUGAAAAAAAUUAGUCCAAGACCAAGGGUAUUUAGGGCUCAUGUACAUGUAAGAUAGACACAGUACAAGAUGGCCCCAAGAAUGAGGAGUAAAUAUAAGGUAUCACAGAAUCCCAGGUUGGAAGGCACUUAAAAGAAUAUAUUCAUUUUACAUUUUCUGGA